UUUAGGGUUUUAAACUCUAUAGUGUGCAGAGCUCUUGAUCAUGCAAGUGUUGCUCGUGGGUGUUGUUGAUCUUCCUGUGAGUGCUGAUGUAGUCAAGUUUUUUAUUCUUGAGGAGGUACCAAGUUUGAGGUACAACAGGGUUUCCACGGGUAGAUCUCAAUCCCUCGAGUUAUUGAUGAGAUGAGGAAGUACUUAUCAUUCUCCGGCAGAGGUUCUAAGUUCGCGCAUGCAUUUUUUUUUUUUUCCAUUGCCUACUUUAUGUCAAUAUGAUCUUAAAGGUUCUAAAUUCGUGCAUGUGUUUUUUCUAUUCCCUACUUUAUGUUGAUAUGAUCUUAAUGAGGUACAAGGCUUUGCAUCUGACAUUUGUUGGGCUUUCAUCUUUGGUUUAGAAUACAUUCUAAAAUGAGAGAGAGAGAGAGAGAUUAAGUAAAACUCUCUCUCCCUUUUGCUUAACUUUUC